rnacentral:lncRNA from 1 species
GGCUUUAAAUAACAUGACAUGCUUGCGGACUUCAUGCCUAGAUCCAAAAAUGUUGUCCAACUAUGAAAUAAUGAACCAAGAACCAGAAUAUGAUGAAGAAGAGGCUAUUAGGGAAAUAAAUAGAGAAUUGGAACAAUUUAAGAAUAAACCUAAGCCAAACUUAGAUGACACUGAGCCGGAUAAUUUGGGUAGUUCUGAAGAAAU